rnacentral:rRNA from 1 species
AUUGAACGCUGGCGGCAUGCUUUACACAUGCAAGUCGAACGGCAGCACGGGGGCAACCCUGGUGGCGAGUGGCGAACGGGUGAGUAAUACAUCGGAACGUGCCCAGUCGUGGGGGAUAACUACGCGAAAGCGUAGCUAAUACCGCAUACGAACUCAGGUUGAAAGCGGGGGAUCGCAAGACCUCGCGCGAUUGGAGCGGCCGAUGGCAGAUUAGGUAGUUGGUGGGGUAAAGGCUCACCAAGCCGACGAUCUGUAGCUGGUCUGAGAGGACGACCAGCCACACUGGGACUGAGACACGGCCCAGACUCCUACGGGAGGCAGCAGUGGGGAAUUUUGGACAAUGGGCGCAAGCCUGAUCCAGCCAUUCCGCGUGCAGGAUGAAGGCCCUCGGGUUGUAAACUGCUUUUGUACGGAACGAAACGCGCCGGGUUAAUACCUCGGCGUAAUGACGGUACCGUAAGAAUAAGCACCGGCUAACUACGUGCCAGCCGCCGCAGUAACAC